rnacentral:rRNA from 1 species
GCCAGACUCCUACGGGAGGCAGCAGUGGGGGAUAUUGCACAAUGGGGGGAACCCUGAUGCAGCGACGCCGCGUGGGUGAAGGAGCGUUUCGGCGCGUAAAGCCCUCUCGGCAGGGAAGAAGGAGGACGGUACCUGACUAAGAAGCCCCGGCUAACUACGUGCCAGCAGCCGCGGUAAUACGUAGGGGGCAAGCGUUAUCCGGAUUUACUGGGUGUAAAGGGGGCGCAGACGGCAGCGCAAGCCAGGAGUGAAAGCCCGGGGCCCAACCCCGGGACUGCUCUUGGAACUGCGCGGCUGGAGUGCAGGAGGGGCAGGCGGAAUUCCUGGUGUAGCGGUGAAAUGCGUAGAUAUCAGGAGGAACACCGGUGGCGAAGGCGGCCUGCUGGACUGCGACUGACGUUGAGGCCCGAAAGCGUGGGGAGCAAACAGGAUUAGAUACCCUUGUAG